rnacentral:rRNA from 1 species
GAUGAACGCUGGCGGCGUGCCUAAUACAUGCAAGUCGAGCGAACAGAUAAGGAGCUUGCUCCUUUGACGUUAGCGGCGGACGGGUGAGUAACACGUGGGUAACCUACCUAUAAGACUGGGAUAACUUCGGGAAACCGGAGCUAAUACCGGAUAAUAUUUCGAACCGCAUGGUUCGAUAGUGAAAGAUGGUUUUGCUAUCACUUAUAGAUGGACCCGCGCCGUAUUAGCUAGUUGGUAAGGUAACGGCUUACCAAGGCGACGAUACGUAGCCGACCUGAGAGGGUGAUCGGCCACACUGGAACUGAGACACGGUCCAGACUCCUACGGGAGGCAGCAGUAGGGAAUCUUCCGCAAUGGGCGAAAGCCGGACGGAGCAACGCCGCGUGAGUGAUGAAGGUCUUCGGAUCGUAAAACUCUGUUAUUAGGGAAGAACAUACGUGUAAGUAACUGUGCACGUCUUGACGGUACCUAAUCAGAAAGCCACGGCUAACUACGUG